rnacentral:rRNA from 1 species
UACGUAGGGUGCGAGCGUUGUCCGGCAUUAUUGGGCGUAAAGAGCUCGUAGGCGGCCUGUUGCGUCUGCUGUGAAAUCCCGGGGCUUAACCCCGGGCGUGCAGUGGAUACGGGCAGGCUGGAGGCAGGCAGGGGAGAAUGGAAUUCCCGGUGUAGCGGUGAAAUGCGCAGAUAUCAGGAGGAACACCGGUGGCGAAGGCGGGUCUCUGGGCCGUAACUGACGCUGAGGAGCGAAAGCGUGGGGAGCGAACAGG